ACCCGCGCUGGUCGGACAUAGCUUAACGACAGCGGCGCGGGGAAGAGGCUCCUACUGUGGGAUAGAUCUGAGACAGGGGCGAGGGCGGCGAAGUUAGCACCCUUGAUCGAGAAGGCUGACGGGU
rnacentral:sRNA from 18 species